AAUUACAUCAGUGGCAUGAUGGCAUCGCAUUGCAGAAGAGGUGUUUCGGUCAGCUAGCGUAGAUGUCACUGCAGCACAUUGCUUUCUGACCCUCAUGUCCACACUGACCAGCUGUCCUUCUAGGUAUGUUGCUGGACAUGAUUGGCAUCCUGCUAGUGUCUGGAAACUGGGCCUCAGACUUUGGAGCUAUAUUCACACACACAACAACACACCAUCAGUGUGUGUCUGGCAAUGUUUGUAUGCAUACCCAUGUUGUUUCCAUUAUGGCUCCUACAAAACGUGUGUUUUCUCCCUGCCUGCAGCAAUAUUCCAAACCGCUCCACCUUUUCAUGCCCAUUCUGUGGAGCCCGCAAUCUGGAUCAACAGGAGCUGGUCAAACACUGUAUGGAGAACCACCGCAACGAUCCCAACAAAGUGGUGUGUCCUGUAUGUUCAGCCAUGCCUUGGGGGGACCCCAGCUACAAGAGCUCCAACUUCCUCCAGCACCUGCUUCACCGGCACAAGUUCUCCUAUGACACGUUUGUGGGUCCAGAGUUUUCCUAGUUAGGUUAACGAAUAAGGAAAAAGUCCAGGCCCCAGGGGCUAAAAAUUGCCCCACCGCUCUGGGACCUAUGGUGCCACCAGUCUGCUUGCAGUUGUCCGUUAUUGUCAGCUAAGUCCCCUUCUGUUCCCUGAUUAAGAGGUGAUGACUACUCCACUCCACUCCACUACCAUUAUCAACUUUCUCCUGACAUGAUCUGAAGCCUCGUCUCAUGUGCCCACUCAUCCACUGGCACAUUGAAUAUUUCCCCUCCAAGCACUUCAAAUCCUGUCCUGCACUGGUCAAGCCUGUGAACACCUCAACUCAUGCCUCAUUCAAUCACUGCUGUGAUCCCUUUCCAACACUGUGUAAGUAGCCGUCUCAUUCCCAUUCCCCAUAAUAUUGUACUAUAAAUGUCUUUAUUAAAUGCUUUAGCUUAAAAUAAUUAGUCUUUGAUGAUUUUUUAAACACUUUGUCAUCACCGUGGGUCUCCCAUCCUCCUCAAUUUGUCAAGUCAACAGCCUCCAUUGCCAAACAAGUUGCCACAUUGCCAAACAAAGAAGACAAGAGUUGUUGAAAUACUGAAGUCUAAGUACAUUUGCACUGCUGUCUUUCUGGUAGAAGAAUUUCUAUGUUUAAAGAGAAUGAUUAAAUAAUUCUACCCUGAAACCUAAUUAUUAGUGAUAUGGUUUAUGUAGCCUGUAUAAUGAGUAACUAAAAUGUUCAGCAUAAAUCUAACUAGGUUGGACUGGGGAAGAGAGGAAUGUUGGUCUGUGUGUUUAAGUAAACACCAAGAAUCAUUAAACUGUGGUUGACCUGCCCUAGCUUGAACUCUGAGGGUUUAAGAUUUGAGAGGGAGGACCCCUCAAGGUUUCCCUAAUCUCAGAGGAAUUAAACUGUCGGCUGGGUAAUGAUCUACAGUGUUGAGGGUUCUGGGGGAGAAGAUAACAAACUCUCCUUAAUGUUCGUGUGUAUGUGUGUGCGUAAAUAAGGAGCCUAGUAUAUAAUAGAUGUCUUUGUACAAUGGACUUCAGAGCGCCCUCGUGAAUAAACAUUUUUGACUAUUGUAAA